UACUUCUUCAAAAAGUCUGGUUUUUGCAAGGGACAGUAGUAGGCAGUAGAAAACAGAAAUUGAUUGGCUCGUCACUGUUGCUCUACUUCCAUUUCAGGUCCAAGGAGAAAACUGUUCCACAGAGAGUUGCAAAGGGGCCAGACGCAAAUCAAGAAGGAAGAUGUUAAACUUUUGUGAUUACGACGAUUUAAACGAAAGAUGACAGAACGUGGGGGAGGGGGUAACACCGAAGUACGCAAGUGAAGCUUCAGGGAAAAGGUCCACUCCCCGAAGCAAAGGAGGGAGUGGAGAACGAACCGGUCUGGCCAAGCGACAAACCCUGAAUGCUGACCGAGCCAGGAGGGGCAGGGCCGCGGAGCCCGCGAAGUGAGACCUCGGGCAAACUGCAGGGGUGCAGCAAGGGGCAGUACGGCGGAGGAGCAGCGCUGCCACAGAGCAGAGUGUAAGGGGACACCGGAAGGGACGGUGAGUUGGGAGGCACCGACAGCAGGCGGGAGUCCAGCGCAAGGAGCGACUGGCGAGUGGCAACUGCAAAAGGCGAGGCACCGGAGCCGGAGGCGGUGGGACUCUGUUGAGUCAGCACAGCUCCUACUCUGGGGGCACUUGUAGGAUCCCCGCAGCUCCUCCAGCCCAGAAACCCGAGGCGGAGGGUCGAGCCCACCGGCCAGAGAUGGUGGUCUCUGACGGGCUGGCGCCGGCCCCCUUCCCAUUUCACAGAGUGGAAAAUGAAACUCAGACUCGAUUAAUGAGAGCAACUGUGACGGCAAGUGACCUAUGCAGAGAUACAUCAAUCUCUUUGACGAAAAGAUGCUCAGGAAAACUAUUUUUCCUGGAAUUGAAAAACUGGAUCUGCUGGCAGGCAGCUCCUAAACUGAAGGUACUUAAGACCCAGGACACAAAGAGCCUGCAGCACAGGAGAAUGAGACCCAAAAGCUGUGCCAAGUCCAGCUGA
rnacentral:lncRNA from 1 species